rnacentral:rRNA from 1 species
CCUCUCGGGGGUAAGCGGGCAGAACUUGCAAGUAUUGGCGGGAGAUUCAGACUUGGUACGCAGGGCUGGGUGUGCUUGUUAAGUUGCACAUUCGUGGGCGGACUGACGAGUAUGCCUUGUUCCUUGUGUAAUGCGUCGCAUUUCUCCCUGUCAUCCGGGUUGCAUGCAACUGAUUUGAUAGUUUAGGUGCCGRGAUCCUGCAAAUCCUUGUUGGUUUGAGCCCCGGUGGCCGACUAUUGUUGCGGUUGUUGAAAGCGAACAAGCGCUUGGCGCGGUCAGCUGUUGUCACGAGUCGUGUACAUGCUAUAUGUGGACGAGCAAUCGUAGCCUGUGGCAUGUACUGGUUGUCAGUGAGAGCAGUUGGCAUUGUUCAGUAUUGCAAUCUAAAGCAUGCGUGGUCUGCCUGU